rnacentral:rRNA from 1 species
AAUCUUGCGCAAUGGGCGAAAGCUUGACGCAGCUAUGCCGCGUGAAUGAUGAAGGUCUUAGGAUUGUACAAUUCUUUCACCGUGGACGAUACUGACGGUACCCGGAGAAGAAGCCCCGGCUACCUUCGUUCCAGCAGCCGCGGUAAUACGAAGGGGGCUAGCGUUGCUCGGAAUUACUGGGCGUAAAGGGCGCGUAGGCGGACAUUUAAGUCAGGGGUGAAAUCCCAGAGCCCAACUCUGGAACUGCCUUUGAUACUGGGUGUCUUGAGUGUGAGAGAGGUAUGUGGAACUCCGAGUGUAGAGGUGAAAUUCGUAGAUAUUCGGAAGAACACCAGUGGCGAAGGCGACAUGCUGGCUCAUUACUGACGCUGAGGCGCGAAAGCGUGGGGAGCAAACAG